rnacentral:rRNA from 1 species
GACGAACGCUGGCGGCGUGCCUAAUACAUGCAAGUAGAACGCUGAAGAGAGGAGCUUGCUCUUCUUGGAUGAGUUGCGAACGGGUGAGUAACGCGUAGGUAACCUGCCUUGUAGCGGGGGAUAACUAUUGGAAACGAUAACUAAUACCGCAUAACAAUGGAUGACACAUGUCAUUUAUUUGAAAGGGGCAAUUGCUCCACUACAAGAUGGACCUGCGUUGUAUUAGCUAGUAGGUGAGGUAAUGGCUCACCUAGGCGACGAUACAUAGCCGACCUGAGAGGGUGAUCGGCCACACUGGGACUGAGACACGGCCCAGACUCCUACGGGAGGCAGCAGUAGGGAAUCUUCGGCAAUGGGGGCAACCCUGACCGAGCAACGCCGCGUGAGUGAAGAAGGUUUUCGGAUCGUAAAGCUCUGUUGUAAGUCAAGAACGGGUGUGAGAGUGGAAAGUUCACACUGUGACGGUAGCUUACCAGAAAGGGACGGCUAACUACGUG